rnacentral:rRNA from 1 species
GUGAGCGCUGGCGGUAGGCCUAACACAUGCAAGUCGAACGGCAGCACAGUAAGAGCUUGCUCUUACGGGUGGCGAGUGGCGGACGGGUGAGGAAUACAUCGGAAUCUACUUUUUCGUGGGGGAUAACGUAGGGAAACUUACGCUAAUACCGCAUACGACCUACGGGUGAAAGCAGGGGAUCUUCGGACCUUGCGCGAUUGAGUGAGCCGAUGUCGGAUUAGCUAGUUGGCGGGGUAAAGGCCCACCAAGGCGACGAUCCGUAGCUGGUCUGAGAGGAUGAUCAGCCACACUGGAACUGAGACACGGUCCAGACUCCUACGGGAGGCAGCAGUGGGGAAUAUUGGACAAUGGGCGCAAGCCUGAUCCAGCCAUACCGCGUGGGUGAAGAAGGCCUUCGGGUUGUAAAGCCCUUUUGUUGGGAAAGAAAAGCAGCAGGUUAAUACCCCGCUGUUCUGACGGUACCCAAAGAAUAAGCACCGGCUAACUUCGUG